UACGAAGGUCCCAAGCGUUGUUCGGAAUCACUGGGCGUAAAGGGAGCGUAGGCGGCGCGGUAAGUCAGAUGUGAAAUCCCGGGGCUCAACCCCGGAACUGCAUCCGAUACUGCCGUGCUAGAGGAUUGGAGAGGUAGCUGGAAUUCUUGGUGUAGCAGUGAAAUGCGUGGAUAUCAAGAGGAACACUCGUGGCGAAAGCGAGCUACUGGGCAACUCCUGACGCUGAGGCUCGAAGGCCAGGGGAGCGAAAGGG
rnacentral:rRNA from 1 species